CAGCAGUGUAUGGUCUAGAUUUCGUAAAGAAGGCCGUCUAAUAUUUUACUUAGGUUCAUUCAAAUAUCUUUAUUUGACAUGCAUGUAUUUCUUGUGUGUGCACACUCUCUUAGUUCUAUAUCUCUUUGAUAUGAAUUACUAGCAGACAAAAUUUUCAUGCUUUGAGGUAUUAUCGAUAUUCACUAUUUAAGACGUCAGUUGCCAGCUUAUAUUCUUUUAAAAUUUUAGUGCUGAGCUUGGCUUCUGUUUUAGGAUACAGUUAUGGUACCAUAUGCUCAUUGGUUUCCAUCUGAUUCCUCUUUUUGACAUGGACAUAUACCAUGUGGUAUAAUAUUUAAGAAGAAUGGCUUGGAAAAUUCAAAUAGAUGGUUACUCUUACCCGUAGUUUCUUUGGGAUGCUGAUAGCAUCUAGAGAUGCCUUCUAAUCAAUAAAAGUAAGAUCUGAUCAUGCGCUAUAUGUUGAUUCUCUUACAUAUGUAUUACGAGAAAAUUAAGGCACACAUGUUGAUAUUGGACUGAUGACCUUUCUUCUUCUCAUAUUUUUUAUUAUCUUACCGAUCAACCUCAGAUGGUGCCGGCAAUUGUGCAAAGCAGUUUGCACAUUAGAGGUUUGGUAUGGGAUUCUGAAGAAAACAUUAGCCCUUAUGAUGCCCCAACUUUGUGGCUAUUGCAGCUAUUGUGGCAAGGCACACAUCAUCGUCGUUUCAUAUUGAUAUCCUGAUAUUUUCUUCAGUUUGCUAUUGGCAAAAAUUCUAUAUCCCUGGUUGCUCUCCACAUAUUUCUCCGGUGAGUUCUUCCCCCAUUUUUCUCUUUCAUGCCUUGCUUCGUUUGUUCAACCAAGUGUGUGUGCUCAUGAUCUUCUUUCCAAGUUUAUCGAGAUUUUGGUGGCGUAGCUGGUUUACAGCCUAUAAGUUUUUGUGAUUUCAACCAAGUGUGUCUGUUAUGAUAAUUAAGGUUACUAGGAUGAAUGGUGUUUCUGUAAGCCCAGACAUAUUUUUUCUCUUCAUAAAUUUGUGAUGCACUAAUUAUCUUACCUAUUCUGUUGAUCUCGGUAAUCACCCGACGAAUAAAGCUUGCGGCCCAUGUUCGUUCUUCUGGAAAAGUCAUUGCAGAAUGUUAACGGCAUCAUAUUCCCUUUAGAGAAAUCUUUUACUGGAUUUUAAUUUCCUACAUACAUGCUUAUCAUUUGGCAUAAUGUUAUUUUGUGACACUUAAUUUUUCCUUGUCUUCCACAUUUUAAUUCAAGCAGCAGUGAUAGAAUUUGCAAUCUGGUGUGGCCUUGCGCUCCUACUAUUCUGCUGAAGAAUGAUCAGCAAAUGCAGUGGAUUUGGAGCUGAGCUAUUACUGAAUAUUCACGUCAUCUGUAUUAAUCAGAGGUUACUAAGAUUAGAUGUUGAUUGAUCUGUUCUCUACCCAUGAGGCAGUGGAGAAGAAAGACAACUCUAGUUAAGAAUGAGAGGCUAGAUAAACAAACAGGAAAAUGCUCAGUUUGUUCAGGCCUUAGGGAUGCAUUCCAUCAUCACUGUCCAUCAACAAGUUCAACUCCGACAAUGGUUCACCGAUAAUGUGGGCCGGUGCACCACGUCAACAACGUCGACGGCCUGACAGGCCAUUUUCCAACUUGGCCUAUUGUAAAUGACGAGACCAUGAGGAUGUAAUCAGUAAUGUUGCUCCUGAAAAUGAAGAUGUACUUUGCCGUUCCACUAAUCUCGGCAAAAGAGUAGAUUAUGGUGCUCCUUGUGCUAUAGUGGAAUUGAAUCACAAAAAAUUCUAUAAAUUCAUCAAACAAUGAAGGAGGUUAGUUUUUACCUGAGCGGCAACGGCGGCCACCAUGGUCUUGCUGGAGCCUCGCUUGCAGUCGAAAGUCAUCAGCUUCAGGGAGUGUCGGCACAGCCAGAAUAGACGCCACCUUCAGCGGGGAGCAACAGCAGCAACUGCGAGGAUUUGGCUCGCCGAUACGAGCAACGGCGGCGCCAUACCCCCUUCCGCAGCUCCGAGCUGCUGGUCCGCCGAGAUGCAGAUGGAGCCGACGAGCCGUUGCGCCUCCAAGCUACCGGGCCACCGAGAUGCAGAUGUAGUCGCAGCGCCUCUGAGCUGCAGCGAGAGCUGCUCCGCCGCCAAGCUGCAGCGUGAGCGGCCGUGAAAAUGGAGCCGAGCUUUCUCUCCAGUACGAGUACAGUGGGAGAGGGAACGAAUCCAAUGAACUGGUCGAUGGAACCAAGACCAACAGUCAACCACGUGGUGAUCUCUAUGCUAUAUGCGCCACGCGUGUGUAUAGGUGUCCAGAAUGCGUGGUUCUCUGUCACAGUGGCACAAUUGUAAUUUUAUUUUGGUGCUAAUUUGUAGCACUUGUAUGAUCUGUACUGUUUUGUCUGAUAUAUUCCAACAACUAUUCUUAGAA